GUCCCUAGAUUUGCCGCCUAAUGCCACUCUUUGCCACUUAUUUCCAUGUUAAAAGGGUGGCAAUUGGUGGAAAUAGCUGGCAUUAGCUGGCGUUUGGUGUAAUUCAACUCUUUUUUCCAAUAAGUGGUAAAUUUGCCACCAAAAGCCACUUUAUUUUGGUGGCAUUUAGGUGGCAUUAGGUGUAAAUUUGAACAUAGUUUUUCUUUAUGGUGGCAGGAAGGUGGAAAUAGGUGGAAAGUAGAACAUAGUUUUUUUUCAUGGUGUAAACUGAGCGGCGUUUAGUGGAAAAUAGGGACUUAGAAAAUUUUCUUGGUGGCGAAUAGGUGGAAAAAAAACUUAGAAAUUUUUGUGAUGUUUGAUUUAGAAGCAAACUGGAAGACAUUGGAUUACCCUUGACAAAAAUCUUCACAUGGACUUGGAAUCAAGGUGUAAUUUUUUUUUGUUUUUUUUUUGUUUUUUUGUUGGAUUUAACGUCGCACCGACACAUGAUAGGCCAUAUGGCGACUUUCCAGCUUUAAUGGUGGAGGAAGACCCCAGGUGCCCCUCCGUGCAUUAUUUUAUCAUGAGCGGGCACCUGGGUAGAACCACCGACCUCCCGUAAGCCAGCUGUAUGGCAAGGUGUAAUGGACACUAAAUGUCAAACUUCAGGCCUAACUGACACAGACCCUGACUUUGCUAAAACUCCACACUGACAACAGCUCGUAGAACACAGAAAUACCCCCCUUGAUGCAUUCAGUAACUGUACAAGAAACAAAAAUCAUUUGGUCAGUGUGCACUGGACGUCUGAUGUACUGACCUCAAAUCAAUAAUUAUGGGUCAUUUACCAGUCAUUUGUGACUUCUGUAUCAAAUGUGAUCUUAGACCAAAGUUAUUGGGCAAAAAAAGUUCUAGUGUUCUGGGUCAAUGUGACCUAGGCCUUUGAUCAACUGACCUCAAAAUCAGUAGGGGUCGUCUGCUGGUCAUGAUCAACGUCCCUAUUUAUUUUCAUGAUCAUAGUACUAAGAGUUCUCAAAUUAACAUCCGGAAACAACUUAACUGUUUCAGUUCACUGUGACCUUGAGCUUUGACCUACUGAACUCAUAAUCUAUAGGGGAUAUCUGCUAGUUAUGAUCAACCUUCCCAUUCACUUUCAUGAUCCUAGGCCCAAGAACACUAGCAUUAUCAUCUGGAAACCUUUGACCUACUGGCCUCCAAGUCAAUAGGGGUCACUGCUGGUCAUGACGAACCUCCAUAUAAAGUUUCAUGAUCUUAGGCCCAAGUGUUCUUGAGUUACCAUCCGGAAACCGAUUGUUCUACAUACCGAACGACCAACAGACUGACAGACCGACAUCAGCAAAACAGUAUCACGUACCCAGACUCCUUCAAAGGAUUUUGUUAAAAUGAGAAUAAGUCUACGCUGACUCCAGCUAGACAAAAAUAAUAUUCAGAGUGGUGUAUUAUACAGAAAAUUUGAAUUUUUGUUAUUUUGUGAGACAGAAUAUUUAUUAAUUAUUAUAUCUUUAUAUUAUAUUCAAUGUAAAUAUUAUUAAUAAGUCACUUUUUCAAUCAACAAUUCUGAAAUACAGAAAAUGGUGGAAAAUAGGUGGCAACUAGUGGAAAUUGGCUGUACUGGCUGAAUCUGAAAAGAUCAUUUUUGAAUGUGUCUGCAGUGUAUUAUUUCUGCAUGAGUGAAAGUUGCAUAAAGAUAAGAUUAAUGAUAGAUCAAGUUACAAGCUCUCACACUAAUGUAUAGAAACAACCUCAGGUGGAAUUUGGGUCAGUUAAGAUUUAUAUAUGCAGGCAAACAUCAGAUCAGAUGCAAAGAAAUAGUUCUUGCCUUUUCUCUUCAUUGAUUGAAAAACAAAAGAAGUGUAUAUAAAAAGGAUGUUUUUAUAAUAGUUUUCAACUUUAGUAUUUGACACCUUCUUUAACUGACCAAAAAGGUGUAUGUGUGGAAUCAGUUUAUCUGUGUAGUAAUACCAAAAUUUGAAAUCUGGCAUAUGAUGAGUCAGUCAGGGAGAAAAUGGAAACACAUUGUGAGAGGAACCUUCUGUGAAAAAAUGCAACUUUGUGACAUGAUCUGCCUGCCUGGCUGUAUAUACCAAAGCAGCAUACAGCUUAUUACUGCAUAAAAGAAACAUAUCAAGAUAAUUCUGAAUCAGAUUGUGUGCUGGAAAAAUGGCCUUACAUCCAAAGGAGUGAAAUUUGGAGAGUCAUUCGCCAUCUACUUAAGCCAUCCUGGAAUAUGAAAAAAUAAGACUGCAUUGACAGCAUCCUGAUCCUCGUGUUCAGAUCUUUUGUGAUUUCUUGUGAAGGGUCUUUGAUUUUUGCAUAAAAAUAAAAAAUAUAUUAAUAUAA